rnacentral:ribozyme from 1 species
AAAAGAUGAAAAAGGGAAAAGCAGAAAAUGAUGCUGCCUGAUUUCAUUCCAAUUUUGUGUAUUUGCCAUUUGCUCUUUUUUGCCCUUUCUAUUCGUUACGUUGUA